GAUGAACGCUAGCGGCAGUCUUAAUACAUGCAAGUCGAGGGGCAGCGCGGGUAGCAAUACCUGGCGGCGACCGGUAAACGGGUGCGGAACACGUACGCAACCUGCCCAUAACUGGUGAAUAGCCCUCCGAAAGGAGGCUUAAUACACCGUAAAAUAACGAAGAUGCAUCUUUUUGUUAUUAUAGUAGCAAUACGGCUUUGGAUGGGCGUGCGCCUGAUUAGGUAGUUGGCGGGGUAACGGCCAACCAAGCCGUCAAUCAGUAACUGGUGGGAGAGCACGACCAGUCACACGGGCACUGAGACACGGGCCCGACUCCUACGGGAGUCAGCAGUAAGGAAUAUUGGUCAAUGGACGAAAGUCUGAACCAGCCAUGCCGCGUGAAGGUUUAAGGCCCUCUGGGUUGUAAACUUCUUUUAUCUGGGACGAAAAAAGGGCAUUCUUGCUCACUUGACGGUACCAGAGGAAUAAGCACCGGCUAACUCCGUGCCAGCAGCCGCCGUAA
rnacentral:rRNA from 1 species